UGCAGUCGAGCGAUGAAGCACCUUCGGGUGUGAAUUAGCGGCGAACGGGUGAGGAACACGUGAAGAAUCUGCCUUCAACUCUGGGAUAACUCCGGGAAACCGGGGCUAAUACCGGAUAUGAGCCUUGAUCGCAUGAUCGGGGCUGGAAAGUUUUUCGGUUGAAGAUGACUUCGCGGCCUAUCAGCUUGUUGGUGAGGUAAUGGCUCACCAAGGCGACGACGGGUAGCCGGCCUGAGAGGGCGACCGGCCACACUGGGACUGAGACACGGCCCAGACUCCUACGGGAGGCAGCAGUGGGGAAUAUUGGGCAAUGGAGGAAACUCUGACCCAGCGACGCCGCGUGAGGGAUGAAGGCCUUCGGGUUGUAAACCUCUUUCAGUAGGGAAGAAGCGAAAGUGACGGUACCUACAGAAGAAGCACCGGCUAACUAUGUGCCAGCAGCCGCGGUAAUACAUAGGGUGCAAGCGUUGUCCGGAAUUAUUGGGCGUAAAGAGCUCGUAGGUGGUUCGAUACGUCGGAUGUGAAAAUCAGGGGCUCAACCCCUGACCUGCAUCCGAUACGGUCGAGCUAGAGUUUGGUAGGGGAGACUGGAAUUCCUGGUGUAGCGGUGGAAUGCGCAGAUAUCAGGAGGAACACCGAUGGCGAAGGCAGGUCUCUGGGCCAAUACUGACACUGAGGAGCGAAAGCGUGGGGAGCGAACAGGAUUAGAUACCCUGGUAGUCCACGCCGUAAACGGUGGGCGCUA
rnacentral:rRNA from 1 species